AAACCAUGAUGAGGACAAGCAUUGAUGGCUUCCAUGUAUCUCUCCCAACACUCAUAGAAUUUCUCAUUCUCUUUAGCUGAGAAAUUUGAAAUUUGCCUUUUCAAACC
rnacentral:snoRNA from 1 species